rnacentral:tRNA from 1 species
AAGGGUUUAGUUAAACUAUAACACUAAUUUGUCAAGUUAAAAUUACUUCUAAGUAGCCCUUA